GAUGAACGCUGGCGGCGUGCCUAAUACAUGCAAGUAGAACGCUGAAGCUUGGUGCUUGCACCGAGCGGAUGAGUUGCGAACGGGUGAGUAACGCGUAGGUAACCUACCUCUUAGCGGGGGAUAACUAUUGGAAACGAUAGCUAAUACCGCAUAAAAGUCGACAUUGCAUGAUGUUGACUUGAAAGGUGCAACUGCAUCACUAAGAGAUGGACCUGCGUUGUAUUAGCUAGUUGGUGAGGUAACGGCUCACCAAGGCGACGAUACAUAGCCGACCUGAGAGGGUGAUCGGCCACACUGGGACUGAGACACGGCCCAGACUCCUACGGGAGGCAGCAGUAGGGAAUCUUCGGCAAUGGACGGAAGUCUGACCGAGCAACGCCGCGUGAGUGAAGAAGGUUUUCGGACCGUAAAGCUCUGUUGUAAGAGAAGAACGAGUGUGAGAGUGGAAAGUUCACACUGUGACGGUAACUUACCAGAAAGGGACGGCUAACUACGUGCCAGCAGCCGCGGUAAUACGUAGGUCCCGAGCGUUAUCCGGAUUUAUUGGGCGUAAAGCGAGCGCAGGCGGUUAGAUAAGUCUGAAGUUAAAGGCUGUGGCUUAACCAUAGUACGCUUUGGAAACUGUUUAACUUGAGUGCAGAAGGGGAGAGUGGAAUUCCAUGUGUAGCGGUGAAAUGCGUAGAUAUAUGGAGGAACACCGGUGGCGAAAGCGGCUCUCUGGUCUGUAACUGACGCUGAGGCUCGAAAGCGUGGGGAGCAAACAGG
rnacentral:rRNA from 1 species